rfam:Triticum urartu cultivar G1812 contig895429, whole genome shotgun sequence.
AACAUACUCCCUCCGUUCGGAAAUACUUGUCUUAGAAAUGGUUGCAUCUAGAUUUUCUAGAUGCAACCAUUUCUAAGACAAGUAUUUCCGAACGGAGGGAGUAUAAU